rnacentral:rRNA from 1 species
CGGACGAGAUCUUCGGAUCUAGUGGCGGACGGGUUAGUAACGCGUGGGAACAUACCCUUCUCUAAGGAAUAGCCACUGGAAACGGUGAGUAAUACCUUAUACGCCCUUCGGGGGAAAGAUUUAUCGGUGAAGGAUUGGCCCGCGUUAGAUUAGAUAGUUGGUGGGGUAAUGGCCUACCAAGUCUACGAUCUAUAGCUGGUUUGAGAGGAUGAUCAGCAACACUGGGACUGAGACACGGCCCAG